UUACACAUNGCAAGUCGAACGAUGAUGCCCACUUGUGGGUGGAUUAGUGGCGAACGGGUGAGUAACACGUGAGUAACCUGCCCUUAACUCUGGGAUAAGCCUGGGAAACUGGGUCUAAUACCGGAUAUGACUCCUCAUCGCAUGGUGGGGGGUGGAAAGCUUUUUGUGGUUUUGGAUGGACUCGCGGCCUAUCAGCUUGUUGGUGAGGUAAUGGCUCACCAAGGCGACGACGGGUAGCCGGCCUGAGAGGGUGACCGGCCACACUGGGACUGAGACACGGCCCAGACUCCUACGGGAGGCAGCAGUGGGGAAUAUUGCACAAUGGGCGAAAGCCUGAUGCAGCGACGCCGCGUGAGGGAUGACGGCCUUCGGGUUGUAAACCUCUUUCAGUAGGGAAGAAGCGAAAGUGACGGUACCUGCAGAAGAAGCGCCGGCUAACUACGUGCCAGCAGCCGCGGUAAUACGUAGGGCGCAAGCGUUAUCCGGAAUUAUUGGGCGUAAAGAGCUCGUAGGCGGUUUGUCGCGUCUGCCGUGAAAGUCCGGGGCUCAACUCCGGAUCUGCGGUGGGUACGGGCAGACUAGAGUGAUGUAGGGGAGACUGGAAUUCCUGGUGUAGCGGUGAAAUGCGCAGAUAUCAGGAGGAACNNCGAUGGCGAAGGCAGGUCUCUGGGCAUUAACUGACGCUGAGGAGCGAAAGCAUGGGGAGCGAACAGGAUUAGAUACCCCUGGGUAGUCCAUGCCGUAAACGUUGGGCAC
rnacentral:rRNA from 1 species